AGUAUCUACAUUAAGUUAGCAGGUGAGAGAAUAUAAAGAAACAGUAACUGGAUGGAGUUCACUAGGUUAGGGGAGUGCCUACUUUCAGUUAGCAGGUGAGAGAAUAUAAAGAAACAGUAACUGGAUGGAGUUCACUAGGUUAGGGGAGUGUCUACAUUAAGUUAGCAGGUGAGAGAAUAUAAA